CAGAUUAUUGACUAAAAAUAAAAACUUUCAUCUCUUGCUUGCUUAAUGAUUCCAUAGUGUAUCUGCAUGUUAAAGUUUAGACAGUGGCUUUCUUCGCAUAAUCUUUCUUUCCAUAACUAAAGUUUUCCGGCAGGUGAGGAAGUCCUACAAUUGUUCCUAAUGGAACACUUCUUCCAGGAUUUGGCAGCUGAUCUACAAGACUGGUUGAGGGAUCGACGACCCAGCAACCUGAAGGAGGCAGCUCGGCUAGCGGACGAGUAUGCCGAAACGAG